UAUUACAUCCUGACUGCAGUUGUCCCUCCCUCAGGAAAGAGCAGUCCUCAAGGGACAGCAACCAAACAUGGCAUAAGAAGCUACAGUAAGACCAGACACAUGCCAUCACAUCAAGGCUGGACAAGGCCACCCAGGAGGAAGAAAAUGGUCCCACAAGUAGACAAAAGAGUCAGAGACAGCCCCUGUUCCCACUGUUAGGAUCCCACAAGAACACCAAGCUACACAGCCGUAACAUUAUACAGAGGAUCUAGGCCAGACCGCUACAGGCUCCCUGAUCUCUGUAAGGCCCUGUGAGCCCCAGUCAGUUUAUUCUGUGAGCCAUGUUCUCAUGGUGUCCCUGACCACUCUGGUUUCUCCAAUCCUUCCUCCCGCUCCCUCCUCACAGGACUCCCCGCGCUCCUCCUAAUGUUCAGCUGUGGACUCUGCAUUGGCUCCCAUCAGUUGCUGGAUGGAGUCUCUCUGGUCACUUUGAGGACUAUUCUGCUAAGAGAGAAUGCACUUCAUGUAUCACACCCGCUUGAUGAUGCUCCAUAAACCUCCUAGGCUUUGGCUCUUUCUCCAUCCUUCUCCUGAACUAGACAAGCUCAAUGGGCUACAUUCAGUUCACUGCUAGGUUUUCUUCCACCUGAGCUAUUUCUUUCAUUUCAAUCAUCUCUUUCUCAACUCCACAAUUAACAUUUAAAAAAAUUAUUUGUUUAUCUUUGUUGAUAUAUUUUUGGAAUAAAACCAUCUUGAAUUCUUUUAUUUAUUUGUUUAUUUAUAUCUCAAAUGUUGCCCCUCCCUCCCAGACAUCUUGAAUUCUUUAUACAUAUUUUCCUUUAAUUCUAUAAACAUGAAAAAUAAUGUUUUAAAUUAUUUGUCUAGAAAGUCUAAUAAGGGCUUCUUCAGGGACUAUCAUAUUGAUUGCUUUAUUUGUUUACAUAUGAGUCUUGCUUUCCUAUUAUUUUACAAAUAACACAAUUCUUUGUUUAAAAACUAAGCAUCUUGGUAAUACAAUGUAGAAUCUCUGGCAAUCAUAUCCCCUAGUGGUUAUUUUUGUUGCUGUUGCCUAUUUUUUGUAGGGUUUUUGUUUUGUAACUUUUCUGGAUCAGUUCUCUAGCUUGUAGUUUUUAUGAUGUACAGUUUACAAAGUUUCUGGUAUUGCUGGUAGUGAUCAACUCAAUUAAAUAUUUUUUUCUGCUCCUUGU